UUCCCACACCGCCAGGCCCAGGCCCUUCUGGGAGCUGAAAAGCGUUAACGCCUUCAAUACAGGUAGCCUAAGGGUUAGAGUCGGUUACGUCAACUUAAGUAUUUUCAGUCAGAGACAAGAGAAAAGAUUUCAGACAGCACCAUGGUGGCGAAAAUGGAGGAGGUGUUGAAUGAAGAAAAACGCGCGACCUAAAACUUCCGAAGUUUGUUUGGACCUUAAGCGAGCUUGGGAAGUAGCCUCUAAGAGAGCUCCGAGGACUGUUCCAGAGAGUUUAAUAUUGCCAUGAAUUGCCUCAAGACUGGACUUUCCUUGUGGAACCCUGUCACCUUUGCCCAGGUAACUAAUGGCACCUUGUUCACGAAUUCGGGAAUCCUUUGGUGAAUUCCGUUCUCAAACCAGUGCUCUGGACAUCGUGUCUGUUACAGCAUGGUCAAUUAUCUUCACAUUGGAAAGGAGUGAACAAACAUCACUAUUUUGAUGGAACUGAGCUCCUAACUAGUAGAGUAAUGG